rnacentral:rRNA from 1 species
ACGGGUGAGUAACACGUGGGUAACCUGCCCUGCACUCUGGGAUAACUCCGGGAAACCGGGGCUAAUACCGGAUACGACCUCCGAGGGCAUCCUCCGGGGUGGAAAGUUUUUCGGUGCAGGAUGGACCCGCGGCCUAUCAGCUUGUUGGUGGGGUAAUGGCCUACCAAGGCUUUGACGGGUAUCCGGCCUGAAAGGGCGACCGGCCACACUGGGACUGAGACACGGCCCAUACUCCUACAGGAGGCAGCACUGGGGAAUAUUGCGCAAUGGGCGAAAGCCUGAUGCUACGACUCCACGUGAGGGAUGACGGCCUUCAGGUUGUAAACCUCUUUCAACAAGGACCAAGCGCACUUGACUGUACCUGCCGAAGAAGCACCGGCUAACUACGUGCCAGCAGCCGCGGUAAUACCUAGGGUGCGAGCGUUGUCCGGAUUUAUUGGGCGUAAAGAGCUUGUAGGCGGCUCGUCACGUCGGGUGUGAAAACUCGCGGCUCAACCGCGAGCCUGCACCCGAUAAAUUCCGGGCUAAAGUUCGGCAGGGGAGACGGGUAAUUCCUGGUGUAACGGUGGAAUGCG